rnacentral:rRNA from 1 species
UACGAAGGGGGCUAGCGUUGUUCGGAAUUACUGGGCGUAAAGCGCGCGCAGGCGGCUAUCCAAGUCAGUGGUGAAAGCCCGGAGCUCAACUCCGGAACUGCCAUUGAAACUGUUUAGCUUGAGGACGAGAGAGGUGAGUGGAAUUCCCAGUGUAGAGGUGAAAUUCGUAGAUAUUGGGAAGAACACCGGUGGCGAAGGCGGCUCACUGGUCCGGUACUGACGCUGAGGUGCGAAAGCGUGGGGAGCAAACAGG